rnacentral:miRNA from 1 species
CUUCCAGUAGCACCUUAGAGACCAACUAAGUUAGCUAUUGGUAUGAGCUUUCGUAUCUGAAGAAGUGUGCAUGCACAUGAAAGCUCAUACCAAUAACUAACUUAGUUGGUCUCUAAGGUGCUACUGGAAG